GAUGCUCUACAUCACCGAUCCUCUUUAACAUCUACCAUCAGGCGGUGAUGAGGCAGGCACUAGCGGCGAGGAAUCAAGAUAACAGGGAGGAAAAAAUGGUGGUGUGGAGGUGGAUACCAGGAGGGUCAUUCGCAGGUGAACAUGGCUGGGAGCCAGGGAGCUCGGAAACAAAGGAAGUGAGGGUAUCGAGCGCCUUGUUUGCGGACGACACUACUAUAGUGGGAACGAAAGGAGAGAUACACGAGAGUGUAAGGAGAGUGAAAAGUGUAAUGGCCCAGUGGGAAGAGAGGAACAAUUAAGAGAAGGAGGAGGUGCUGGAGUUUGGAACGCUAGAGGGGGAGGAGAUUAGAGUGUUGGGAAGCUGGAUUGGGACUCAGGCAGAUGUGAGAAACAGGAUCAAGAGGGCAGGAAGGCUGUGGGGGAGUGUGAAAGGGUGGUUGAAAGGGACACGACUAUCUAAGAGGUGGCAAGGGAGAGUAGUAGAGGCGUGUGUGGAGAGCAGCUUGCUGUAUGACUGUCAGGUAAGAACAUGGUUGAAGAAGGAUGUGGGGAAACUACAGAAGUGGAUGGAUAGGUGCUACAGGAAUGUGUGGAGUGAUAGGAACGGAGAACCACUGAGGCAAAUGCAAGAAAGAGGAGUGAAUAUGUAUGACGUAAGGAAAAUGUUGGGAGUAAAAUCCAUUGAGUGGAAAAUCGAGAGGCGAGUGUUGCAGAGAAUUGGACAUGUGAUGCGUAUGGGAAAUGAAAGACUAACAAAAGCUAUGGUAUUGGGAUGGUGGGAGGAACUGGAAGGAAGAGGGAAGAGGAUGGGAAUGGAUCACCUGUAUAAAUGGGAAAAUCAGAAAGGUCACAGAUAUGAGGCGGGAAGGAACGAGGAAAGACUGGAAAGGAAUGUGAGGAGAGUGAAUGAUGGGUUGGUAUGUCGGUAUGAUGGGUGCGGAAAAGUGUGCAGGAGUAGAGCUGGUCUAACCAUGCACGAGAAACGCAUACACCGCAGGAACGAGGAACAGGUGGAGUUUGAGUGCGAGAAGUGUGGAAGGAGGUUUGGGUCGAAAGGUAAUAAAAUGAGUCACCAAAGGAGUUGCACGGGAGGAGGGGAUGAGGAGAAGGGAGAAAGGAGACAGUGUGGAGGAUGUGAAAGGUGGGUGACGAAAGCAAACUAUGCCAGACACGUGAGAGGGUGUGAAAGAGUCUGCAGAGAGUAUGAGGUGGAGAGGGAAGGAGGGCGAAGGGAGGGAGCGGGCGUGGCGCGUGUAGGGGGGGCAGGGGGGGUGAAUGGCAAAUGGGGAGGGUGGGCGCGGAGGGAGAAGGGUAGCUUGCGGGAGGUGUGGGAAGGAAAUGUUGGCGGGGAACCUUGCGAGACACCAAUGGGAUUCGUGCCGGGUGUGGGACCCCCCCUGUGGAAGGAGGUUUGGGUCGAAAAGGUCAUAAAAUGAGUCACCAAAGGAGUUGCACAGGAGGAGGGGAUGAGGAGAAAGGAGAAAGGAGACAGUGUGGAGGGUGUGAAAGGUGGGUGACGAAAGCAAACUAUGCCAGACACGUGAGAGGGUGUGAAAGAGUCUGCAGAGAGUAUGAGGUGGAGCGGGAAGGAGGGAGAAGGGAGGGAGCGGGCGUGGCGCGUGUAGGGGGGACUGGGGGGGGUGAAUGGCAAGGGGGGGCAAGUCCCUGACGGGGGGCCGAUUGCCCAGGAUCGGAUCGGACAGUGUUACGACAGACCGUGACCCGUGGAUGGUCAAAAUUGACAUCAAUCAGCGUGGUGUGAUGUUCAAAAUUGCCACGGGCGCUGAUGUCACCGUUCUGCCACACACAGUUUUCAGGCGCACGUACAAAAACAAUCUCCCUAAACUCAGAAAGGCAACAAAACGACUCCUGGGACCAGGGAGGAGCCGGCUUGAGGUUGUGGGCGUCGCCAGGCUGCUGCUGAGGAAAGGUGAUAGGGAGGUGAUGGAGGAUGUGUACAUCGCUCAUCAAGUGCAUACUGCCUUGCUGGGGAGAUCUGUGAGCUGCAGGUUGGGGCUCGUCGCACGCCUAGGCAGCGUCUCUAUAGAGACACUAAAAGAGAAUUAUCCCAAAAUAUGCACUGGGCUCGGAGUGAUGCGGCGGCCGUAAAACCUGAAACCUGGGGCUGAACCUUUCUUGUUAAAAACACCAAGGAGGAUUCCAUUGCCGUUACUGGACAAAGUCAAGCAAGAGCUAUCCCGCAUGGAACGACUCGGGGGGUGAUAUGCAGAAUCGAGGUGCCAACAGACUGGUGCGCUGGCAUCGUGGUGGUGCCCAAGAAAUCAGGUGCUGUACGUAUCUGUGUUGAUCUCACCAAACUCAAUGAGUCAGUGUGCAGAGAAAAGUAUAGCCUGCCGUCAGUGGAGGAAACACUGGGCAUGCUGGCCGGAGCCAGGAUUUUUAGUAAGCUGGAUGCAAAAAUGGGGUUUUGGCAAAUACCCCUAACACCCCAUUCGGAGAAGCUGACAACUUUUAUCACACCCUUUGGGCGCUAUUACUUCAAGCGGCUACGUUUCGGGAUAG